rnacentral:rRNA from 1 species
ACCAUGCAAGUCGAGCGAUGAAACACCUUCGGGUGUGAAUUAGCGGCGAACGGGUGAGGAACACGUGAGAAAUCUGCCUUCAACUCUGGGAUAACUCCGGGAAACCGGGGCUAAUACCGGAUAUGAGCCUCGAUCGCAUGAUCAGGGCUGGAAAGUUUUUCGGUUGAAGAUGAUCUCGCGGCCUAUCAGCUUGUUGGUGAGGUAAUGGCUCACCAAGGCGACGACGGGUAGCCGGCCUGAGAGGGCGACCGGCCACACUGGGACUGAGACACGGCCCAGACUCCUACGGGAGGCAGCAGUGGGGAAUAUUGGACAAUGGGCGCAAGCCUGAUCCAGCCAUGCCGCGUGAGUGAUGAAGGCCCUAGGGCUGUAAAGCUCUUUCACCGGUGAAGAUAAUGACGGUAACCGGAGAAGAAGCCCCGGCUAACUUCGUGCCAGCAGCCGCGGUAAU